rnacentral:rRNA from 1 species
GACGAACGCUGGCGGCGUGCUUAACACAUGCAAGUCGAGCGGUAAGGCCCUUUCGGGGGUACACGAGCGGCGAACGGGUGAGUAACACGUGGGUGACCUGCCCUCAGCUCUGGGAUAAGCCGUGGGAAACCGGGUCUAAUACCGGAUAUGACUCCAUGACGCAUGUUGUGGGGUGGAAAGCCUUGUGCGACUGAGGAUGGGCCCGCGGCCUAUCAGCUUGUUGGUGGGGUGAUGGCCUACCAAGGCGACGACGGGUAGCCGGCCUGAGAGGGCGACCGGCCACACUGGGGGCUGGAC